UGCUGAUUAUGAGCUCCAAGAUUUUGGUGUUUGCUCGAGGCAAGGCUUGCUCGAGGGCAAGGCUUAAAAGGGGCCUUGCUCGAGGCCAAGGCAUACAUUGGCUUGUCAAAGACAAGGCUUAAAAGGGGCUUGCUCGAGAACAAGGUUUAAAUUGGCUUGUCAAGGACAAGGCUUAAAAGGGGCUUGCUCGAGGGCAAGACUUAAAUUGGCUUAUCAAGUACAAGGCUUAAAAGGGGUUUGCUCAAGGGCAAGGCUUAAAGGGGCUUGCUCGAGGGCAAGGCUUAAAUUGGCUUGCUCGAGGGCAAGGCUUAAAUUGGCUCGUCAAAGACAAGGCUUAAAGGGGCUUGCUCGAGGGCAAGGCUUAAAGGGGCUUGCUCGAGGGCAAGGCUUAAAGGGGCUUGCUCGAGGGCAAGGCUUAAAUUGGCUCGUCAAAGACAAGGCUUAAAGGGGCUUGCUCGAGGGCAAGGCUUAAAGGGGCUUGCUCGAGGGCAAGGUUUAAAGGGGCUGUGUUUAUACUUGUGCUGCACUAUUGUGCUGAUUAUGAGCUCCAAGAUUUUGGUGUUUGCUCGAGGCAAGGCUUGCUCGAGGGCAAGGCUUAAAAGGACUUGCUCGAGGCCAAGGCAUACAUUGGCUUGUCAAAGACAAGGCUUAAAAGGGCUUGCUCGAGGACAAGGCUUAAAUGGGCUUGCUCGAGGGCAAGGCUUAAAAGGACUUGCUCGAGGGCAAGGCUUACAUUGGCUUGUCAAAGACAAGGCUUAAAAGGGCUUGCUCGAGGGCAAGGCUUAAAGGGGCUUGCUCGAGGGCAAGGCUUAAAUUGGCUCGUCAAAGACAAGGCUUAAAGGGGCUUGCUCGAGGGCAAGGCUUAA
rnacentral:lncRNA from 1 species